UACGGAGGAUGCAAGCGUUAUCCGGAUUCAUUGGGUUUAAAGGGUGCGCAGGCGGAAUGAUAAGUCAGUGGUGAAAUCCUACAGUUCAACUGUAGAACUGCCAUUGAUACUGUCGUUCUUGAGUACACUUGGAGUGGGCGGAAUGUGUCAUGUAGCGGUGAAAUGCUUAGAUAUGACACAGAACACCGAUCGUGAAGGCAGCUCACUAAGUUGUAACUGACGCUCAGGAACGAAAGCGAGGGGAUCAAACAGGAUUAAAUUCCCUGGUACUCCACGCCGUAAACGAUGAUCACUCGAUGUUGGCGAUAUACUGUCAGCGACUAAGCGAAAGCAUUAAGUGAUCCACCUGGGGAGUACGAUCGCAAGAUUG
rnacentral:rRNA from 1 species